rnacentral:rRNA from 1 species
CACGUAGGGCGCAAGCGUUGUCCGGAAUUAUUGGGCGUAAAGGGCUCGUAGGCGGUCUGUUGCGUCAGGAGUGAAAACUCGGGGCUUAACCCCCGAGCCUGCUUCUGAUACGGGCAGACUAGAGGUAUGCAGGGGAGAACGGAAUUCCUGGUGUAGCGGUGAAAUGCGCAGAUAUCAGGAGGAACACCGGUGGCGAAGGCGGUUCUCUGGGCAUUACCUGA